GGAGAAGAGCGUAAGAGCGUAUGUGUGGAUGCCUUGACAUUAGAAGACGAUGAAAGACGUAGCAGCCUGCGAUAAGCUUCGGGGAGGUGGCAAGCAACCUUUGAUCCGGAGAUCUCUGAAUGGGGCAACCCCUCUUGGCGUUGAACCGAGAGACCGCACCGCAAGGUGCGGGGUGUACCUGGCGAAGUGAAACAUCUCAGUAGCCAGUGGAAAAGAAAUAGGUCAUAUAUUCCCUAAGUAGUGGCGAGCGAAAGGGGAGAAGUCUAAACCUCAUAUGAGUCAAACGGUUAGGCGAGUUUUGAUGCAAAUUGAAAUUACGUGAAUUGUUUGGGGCUAUAGGGCUGUACUCUAUAAGGUGUUGCGUGGCAAUCAAAUUGUUUUCCUAUAAAAACAGGUAGAGAAAAAAGAACAAUUUAUAACAGAAUCUUCUGGAAUGAAGAAUCAUAGAGGGUGAUAAUCCCGUAUGUGAAAUAAAUUGUUACUCUGCUUUGGUUGUUCACAAGUACUACCAGACUCGUGAAAUCUGGUAAGAAUCCGGGCCGACUAUUGGCCCAAGACUAAAUACUUCUAAUGAUCGAUAGUGAACAAGUACCGCGAGGGAAAGGUGAAAAGCAGCCCGGUGAGGGCGAUGAAAUAGUAUCUGAAACCAUACGCUUACAAAGAGUCGGAGCUCUAGAUACACGCAAGUGUGUCAGAGUCACGGCAUUCCUAUUGAAGAAUGAGCCAACGAGUUUAUUGUGUGCGGCUUGCUUAAGGACUUACGGUCCAUAGGCGCAGUGAAAGCGAGCGUUAAUAGCGCGUUUGUCGCACAUAUAAGACCCGAAGCCGGAUGAUCAAACCAUGACCAGGUUGAACCCUGUCGAAAGACAGGGGGAGGACCGAACCCACUAGCUGUGCAACACUAGGGGAUGAGUUGUGGUUAGGAGAGAAAUUCUAAUCGAAUUCGGUGAUAGCUGGUUCUCCUCGAAAUAGCUUUAGGGCUAGCCUUGGAAGUUCCUCUUGGUUGUAGAGCACUGAAUGAGACGUGGCGGAGCAAUCCGCCUUGUUUCAACCAAACUCCGAAGGCCAAGAAUUAACAUUCCAGGAGUCAGUCUCUGGGGGCUAAGCUCCAGUGGACAAAAAGGGAACAGCCUAGACCCUCAUCUAAGGUCCCUAAAUCUACGUUAAGUGUAAAAAGCGGUGGAACGACUUAUACAACCAGGAGGUUGGCUUAGAAGCAGCCAUCCUUUAAAGAAAGCGUAACAGCUCACUGGUCAAGUUGUUCUGCACUGAAAAUGUACCGGGGCUAAACGUAGUACCGAAGAUAGGGAAUUUUCAUUAAUUUAUUAAUGAGGAUUGGUAGAGGAGCAUUCCUGUCGCAGUGAAGUCGGACCCGUGAGGGCCGGUGGAGCGUCAGGAAGAGAGAAUGUUGGCAUAAGUAGCACAAACUCUGGUGAAAACCCAGAGCACCGUAAACCCAAGGUUUCCUGGGCAACGCAAAUCGUCCCAGGGUUAGUCGAUCCUAAGGUGAGUCUGCCUUCCGAGGCAGGGUAGCCGAUGGAAGAGGCCGUUAAUAUUCGGCCACUUUCAUAUUUUUGCUAUGCACUGACACAUGACCGCGAUGCAAGCGCGUUUUGGUUAUACGCGUACCGCAAGGUAGAGAUGAAGCCGCAAGGUGGAUUCAAUUUGGGUCAAAGUUGUGUCGAGAAAAGGUGCCAGGCGUUAAGAAUAUGAAAUCCGUACCGUAAACCGACACAGGUGGGUGGGCGUAAGUGUGCCAAGGUGUACGAGAGAACCCUCGUUAAGGAACUCUGCAAAAAAGCAUGCGUAACUUCGGAAUAAGCAUUGCUCCAAUUUGUUGGAGCCGCAGCAAACGAUCUCAAGCGACUGUUUAACAAAAACACAGGUCUCUGCUAAGCCGCAAGGCAAUGUAUAGGGGCUGAUGCCUGGCCAGUGUCAGAACGUUAAGGGGAGGGGUCAUCCCGUAGCAAUACGGGGGCAGCUCUGAACUGAAGCGCUGAUGAACGCCGGCGAUAACUAUAAUCGUCCUAAGGUAGCGAAAUACCUUGUCGUGUGAGUUACGACGCGCACGAAUGGCAUAACGACUUGAGAACUCUCUCAACGAGGGACUCGGCGAAAUUGCAAGGGAGGUGAAGAUGCCUCCUACCCGUGGUUAGACGAAAAGACCCCGUGAAGCUUUACUACAACUUGGUAUUGGAUUAAAAAUUUCUAUGUUCAGUGUAGGUGGGAGCGCCAUAGCAAUAUGGUGCGCCGAUGAGACACCACCCUUAGGUAUUUUUAAUUCUAACCACCCUUAGUUAUCCUAGGGGAGGGACAGUAUCUGGUGGGUAGUUUGACUGGGGCGGUGGCCUCCUAAAAUGUAACGGAGGCGUUUACAAAGGUAAGCUUAGCUCCAAUGGAAACGGAGCUGGACGUGUAAUGGCACAAGCUUGCUUUACUGCAAGUCCUACAAGACGCGCAGUCCCGAAAGGGGAACAUAGUGAUCCGACGAUCCAAUAUAGGAUGGUCGAAGCUCAACGAAUAAAAGCUACUCCGGGGAUAACAGGCUGAUCAGGUCCAAGAGUCCAUAUCGACGACCUGGUUUGGCACCUCGAUGUCGGCUCAUCGCAUCCUGGGGGUGAAGAAGCUCCCAAUGGUUUGGCUGUUCGCCAAUUAAAGCGGUACGCGAGCUGGGUUCAGAACGUCGCGAGACAGUAGAAAAAUUUAGCUUAAAUUAGCUAAUAACCGUGCUGUCUAUAAAUCUAGCUAAAUGCUGGAAACUCUGUGCAGCAACUUAUAAAUAAAUUUGGAGAAAUUAUUUAUGAGACUGGUAAAUCUCACACUACUUUUGGUAUAAUUAAAAUGCUAUGAGUAAAAAUGUGUUGAGUGCAGACAAUCAGCAGGAAAGACUUAUCUCUUCAGUUAAUCCUUGGUAUAUUACCGGGUUUGUAGAAGGAGAAGGCACUUUUCAUGUAGCAAUAUAUGAAGAUAAAUUAAUGAAACAGGGGAUUAAAAUAAUCCCGGAAUUUCAUGUUAAUCAAAGCCAACUUCGUUCCAUAACUUUGGAGGCAAUAAAAAAAUAUUUUAAUUGCGGUUAUAUCAAAGUUAAUCAUAGAACCAAUCCUAAAGAUGAUACUUUAGUUUAUGUGGUCAGAAAUAAUCAAGAUUUGAGAGAAAAAAUUAUACCUUUCUUUGAAAAAUAUUCUUUGUUAUCAAAGAAAAAAGAAAGUUUCAAAAUUUUUUCUCAAAUAGUUUGGAUGAUGUUUAAAAAAGAACAUUUAAAAAACAUAGGUAUCCGAAAGAUUAUCAAUUUGUCAUAUAAAAUGAAUGGUAAUGGAAAAUAUAGGAUGGUAAAGAAAGAAAAAUUAUUGAAGAAAUAAGAAUCCUCAGAGACUAUAUGCUAGAAUUCUUUUUAUAAAGAAUAAGAUAUAGUCCGAACUCUAGUGAGAAUUAGAGAGCAAAUCAGAAAUGUUUUUGCUUCCUUUUAAAAAAGGAAAUAACAAAUUGUCGGUCUCCUAUCUACCACGGGCGCGGAAAUUUGAGAAGGCUCAUCCCUAGUACGAGAGGACCGGGAUGAACAAACCUCUGGUUUAUCGGUUGUGAUACCAAUUGCAGUGCCGAGUAGCCAUGUUUGGUACGGAUAACCGCUGAAAGCAUAUAAGCGGGAAGCCGUCUUCAAGAUUAAAUUUCAUAGAUCCCCACUAGACGAGUGGGUUGAUAGGUUCCAGGUGUAAGGCCCGCAAGGGUUUAAGCCGAGGAAUACUAAUUGAUCGUUCUCUUCUCUGU
rfam:Parcubacteria (Magasanikbacteria) bacterium GW2011_GWA2_42_32 TV20_C0003, whole genome shotgun sequence.